AAAACAUAUUUUUGUCGUUUAUUGUACAUAACAAUUUUUAAAUCUUAACAAAUAGUUGUUUUAGUUAAAUAGAAUGAAAUUCAUGAUUUAUUCCUUUGGUUUUGGGUAGAACUGUUUUUCAUCCCUCUCAUUAAGUCCAUCAGGUUCAAGAGUACGUAGCUGAUGCAUCCAGAACCUUUCUCUCUGUUUUCUUUUUUCGGUGUCCCAAUUUUG
rnacentral:lncRNA from 1 species